rnacentral:piRNA from 1 species
UGGGGCUCAAGAAGCCUGGUCAGCCAGCCAUA